rnacentral:lncRNA from 1 species
UCUAGUCCCUGCUUUUCUGUGGUGUUGCAGUGGAAUCUCCACUCCACACCCUCUGCUUUCUCCAGAUCAGGAUGGAAGGAGCAAAGUGCUGGACACCUGGUGGAAGGUCAGAAUUCAGCUGGCUGAUGAUGAUCAAUGCUGCCUGUUUUCCCUCAGGACAGAGGCAAGGCUCCCAAGAUGUCCAUGUUUAUCCAGGAAUGAGAGGGAGGUGCAUUUUCUUCUCAGUCUGGCACUAAAUGCAACCACUGGCUUCAUUCCAGGGAGUAAAAGCAGUGGAUUAACAGGAGUUCACCCUUGCCCCCUCUUCUCCCCUCAGCCACGAUCAGGUGAGAGGGAAGGAGAAGGAAAGAGGAAAGGAGAAGGAAAGGAAGGGGGGAAGGAAAAGGGGAAAGGAAAGGGGGAAAGGAAAGGGGCAACUUGUUUUAUUUGGAGGAUGAGGAGUGCAGUUGGGAGAGGAUGGGGAGUGGGAGGAUGUGUCUGCUGAGGAGGGGCAGUGGGAAAUUUUAGUGAAUGUGGAGGGGGUGAUUGAGGGAUCCUCUGGAGCAGCAGGAUUUAUUUAUGUAUUUAUUUAUUUAUUUAUUGAAUUUGAAGGGGGUUUUUUACAUUACAUCAGGUUUAGGAGCUGGAGGACAUGUCUUGCCUAAUGGGUGAGCCAGCAUGUGUUGCUGUGUUGGAUAAUUGACUAUUUUUAGACCCUGGAAGUCUCCUCCUGGUGGCUCCAGUUUCAGUGUGGAUUGCCAACAGCCUGUGCCCUCAGCUUGGCACAGCUGGUAGGAGCUGUCAGGAUAUGCUGGACAAAAGGAUUUCUCCAGACAUGGAAAAAGCGUUUUCUAGGUCUUCACCGAAUGGUGUGCAAAUUUCCACUUCCUCACUGCAGCCACUUGGAGUGAUAUAAAUUGGCAGAGUUUAGUGCACUUCCCUGUGAGAUUUCUCUUAAACACCUAUGGAUUCCCAGAGCUUGAGGCUGAGGCUGCACAGUCACUCCCUCUCACCACCACUGUACAAGAACUCAUCAGGACAACUUGGGAUGGGCUGCUUUUCACGUGCAUUUAAGGAAAAGUUAAAAAAAAAAUUAAAAUAGAGAAUCAAAGCAUACUUCAGGAGACAAACUGCUGGAAAAUAUCCUGGGAUAUGAUCUGUAAGAACUUUCUGCCUUCAUUGAAGCAAGAACUGAAGGAGCCUCAAAACCAUGAGCAACUCCAGCUUUGUCUGUCCUGUUUAUCCAUCCUUUUAUUCCCCUGGAGCUGAGGGAGCUCAUUAAAUGUAUUCCCAUUAAAUGGGUAAGGGAUGCAGCAGGGAAUGGGAUGUAUCUGG